AGGAAGGUGGGGAUGACGUCAAGUCCUCAUGGCCCUUAUGUCCUGGGCUACACACGUGCUACAAUGGCGGUGACAGUGGGAAGCCAGGCAGCGAUGCCGAGCUGAUCCUCAAAAGCCGUCUCAGUUCGGAUUGCACUCUGCAACUCGGGUGCAUGAAGGUGGAAUCGCUAGUAAUCGUGGAUCAGCAUGCCACGGUGAAUACGUUCCCGGGCCUUGUACACACCGCCCGUCACACCAUGGGAUUUGGUUUGACCUUAAGUUGGUGCGCUAACCGCAAGGAGGCAGCCAACCACGGUCGGGUUAGAGACUGGGGUGAAGUCGUAACAAGGUAGCCGUAA
rnacentral:rRNA from 1 species